CAGUGAAGUUAAUUGAUAAGCCAUCUGGUGAUUUUGCAAGGACAAAAACUGUCUUUCAGUAUAUAACAAGACAUUAAUGGAUAAAACUAAUUACAACAUCAUAAAAUCAAUAAGGUUGUCAUAUACCAGCUUUUGAACAUCCAAACUAGAUCAAUAAAUUAUAAUUGUGAUGAUGCUUGUCUACAGGAGAUAAAUUGAACAAAGCUAAAUCCUACAGAUUUGGCAAUGCAGAGAUAUUAAACUAACAACUGUCAUGCCAUUAGCACACAUGCUAGCCUCACCUCCACUGAUCAAAGCUUUGUCAUCUGAGGCAACACAAUUGUGUGGUACUAGUCCUGCAAUGCAUGAUGAUUGAUCUAAUUCCCCACUUCUUGUUUCAGAUAAAUGGCUAUCAACAGCUUGAAUGUCAUGAUGUUCCUGAGGCUGUUUACUCUUAUCUAAAUUUUCCUUUGCAUUGUCACCAGAUUCUGACCCAGGCAUCAUUUCUACUGGAUCAAUUGUCCGUCUCCUCUUUGAAGACCUUCCCUUUAAAGUUUCGGACUGCACAACUAUUUCAGUGUGAUCCAUGCUCGUCUUUUCAACACCAUUAAGUGCAACAGAUUUACGUGUUGAUCUCCUCAUAGUAAGUUUUGACAAUUUUUCCUCAUGAAGACCACUGUUUUGUUCCUCAAGCAACACUGUGGCAACAGAUCUCCUUGAUCGCCUAAUUGGUUCCUUUAGUUUCUGUUCCUUCUCAUUAUCUUGAGAUUUACCGCUUUGGAUAUUGUUCUCAAGCAUAUCAGGUAGAACAGAUUUACGUGAUGAGCGCCUAACAGGUUGCUUCACAAUUAAUUGUUUCUCCACAUCUUUCUCUUUCUCGUGCAAUUCUGAGACAACAGAUCUUCGUCUCAAUCCCCUAACAGGUUCUUUAGUUGCCGGUUUGUUCGCG